UUCUUUUCUUUUGUGGAAUGUAAAUCUUUUAUUAAAACAGCUGUCUUUCCACAGUAGUAAAGCUUUGGCACAUACAGUAUAAAAAAUAAUCACCCACCAUAAUUAUACCAAAUUCCUCUUAUCAACUGCAUACUAAGUAUAUUUCUAGGCAAUUACUAGGAUCAUUUGGAAAAAGUGAAUACUGUGGAUAUUUUAAAUCUCACAGUAACAAGGUCAUGCUUGUUCCUACAGUAUUGCGGGCCAGACACUUAAGUGAAAGCAGAAGUGUUUGGAGCAAAGGGCUUAAGAAAGAAACAAGAACUCUAAGAUGGGUCUGCUAACAUCUUGUAGUU
rnacentral:lncRNA from 1 species